CCCUUAAUGCAUGAGAGCUGCUGGAUGAGUGUGAUGAGUGCUUGUGCUGUGUGAAUGUGCGGGUGAGUGUUUGUUUGUUUGUGUGAGUGAAUGUGAGAGAGUGAAUGUGUCUUUAAUUAGAAUUAUCCUAAAAAACCUACACCGUGAUCUUAUUUGAUCUGGUCCGUGUCAUUGCCCUGCACGGAUUCAGAAAUGAUAAGAAAAGCCUCGUUAGCCCGCUGUGGCGAUGCGCGUGUAUUUGAGCUGCUUCAGGGCACCGCAAUGGAGAUUGUGGUUAGAAAUGAUGAAUUGAUCAGAUAUACUAGCGCCGGUGGGAUUUUGGAGAUGUUUCCUCCAUGUUUUCCUGUCUGGUCUAUGAGUAUAGAGGCGAUUCUGAUCUUC